rnacentral:rRNA from 1 species
CAAUAGCGUAUAUUAAAGUUGUUGCAGUUAAAAAGCUCGUAGUUGGAUCUGUGGUUCGUCCCGCCGACUGGGUCAUUGACUUUUGCUGUGCUGGUCGUCCAUCCUUGGGUGGAAUCUGUGUGGCAUUAGGUUGUCGCGCAGGGGAUGCCCAUCGUUUACUGUGAAAAAAUUAGAGUGUUCAAAGCAGGCUUAUGCCGUUGAAUAUAUUAGCAUGGAAUAAUGAUAUAGGACCUUGGUACUAUUUUGUUGGUUUGCGCACUGAGGUAAUGAUUAAUAGGGACAGUUGGGGGUAUUCGUAUUCCAUUGUAAGAGGUGAAAUUCUUGGAUUUUUGGAAGACGAACUACUGCGAAAGCAUUUACCAAGGAUGUUUUCAUUAA